rnacentral:lncRNA from 1 species
AUGGAGGAAGAGAAGGUGGUUGACAAUAUCCAAUCAAAACCCAGUUCCCCUUUACCUACUGGGAUUCCCAUUAAUUGGGGACUCAUCACCGGCCCUGUCCCUGAACCGGUGUUCCUAUCACCCUCUUUGAGCACCCAACUACCUCCGCCUCAGAGUUCUGCUGUGCACGCACUACAGACCAAAGUGAAGACACUCACACAGAGAAGAACAAAAGGGAGAGAUCGAGAGAAAGAAAGAGAACGGUUGGACACAGAGGUCUUAGUGAGCAGUCCAGCUGGGCAGAUUUCAUCCAAAGUCCUUCUCAGACAGAGGCCCAAAGGAAAGGCUCAGAUAUUUCUGCCUGCCCCUUCCUGGAGAUCUGGCGCAGCAAAGAACUUGAGCAGCAGUGAUGAAGAGGAGGAGGUAGAGGUGCAAGUCAGUUUCCAGAUCCACAGCCCUCCAGCUGAAUCACGAGGAGAACAGGUGUUCCAGGAGGGAGAGAAAACUGAAGACGAGAGGUCAGAGAGAAAUGAGGACCAGGUCAGUUUUCUGACAGGCCUUUAUGGGCUCGGGGAGGGCACCAGUCUGGAGAGUCUUCUGUCUGAUCAUUCAAGCAGCAGUAAAGAUGAGCCAUCCCAUCCUCCUCCUCUACCGGGGCUCUCCUCCCUUCUUGCCAACACCUCUGCUUCUACAACAUCUUCCAUUCCAUCCUUCACAUCUUCCACGUCAACCAGACACUGGGCACCACCCAGGGGCUUCUGGAAAGUGGCACGCCCUGAAACAUUGCUUCUAAAUGGUGUUGGCUCUAACAACACACCCUCAACUUUACCUUUGAAGAACCAUAAUCAGACAGAAGCAGUGGCAGAGCCUCAAAGGAAGUCCAAACCAAAUGCAGGAAGUGUAGUGGAUGCCAGUGAAGCAUCCUCAGAAUUCAAACACUCAGACAGCAUUGAGUGCUACCUGGACAGGUGUGAGCAGAAGGAGUUAGAUGCUGGUUACUUAGCCAAAGGAUUGUGCAGUUCAGACAGCUGGGAGAGCACGUCUUCACAAAGUGGGGUGCUCUCUGCUGAUGAGACAUUGAAGGUGAAGCAGAGAGCUUAUAUAAAGUUAAGGGAGAGACAACAAAACUACAGGGAGGGGAGAGAGCAAAGCGAAGGGGAAAACGCCGACUAUUACGGUGACAGAACAUGCAGAAUGGAUUGUAAAGGUAGGUCUCUUGAUGAAAAUGGCCUGUAUUAA